rnacentral:misc_RNA from 1 species
GAUGAAGAACGCAGCAAAAUGCGAUACUUGGUGUGAAUUGCAGAAUCCCGUGAACCAUCGAGUUUUUGAACGCAAGUUGCGCCCGAAGCCUUUUGGCCGAGGGCACGUCUGCCUGGGCGUCACGCAUCGCGUCGCCCCCCACAAUUCUCCGUAAAGGGAACGCGUGUUUUGGGGGCGGAUAUUGGUCUCCCGUGCUCAUGGCGUGGUUGGCCGAAAUAGGAGUCCUUUCGAUGGACGCACGAACUAGUGGUGGUCGUAAAAACCCUCGUCUUUUGUUUCGUGAUGUUGCUCGCAAGGUAAACUCUUUAAAAACCCCAAUGUGUCGUCUCUUGACGACGCUUCGACCGCGACCCCAGGUCAGGCGGGACUGCCCGCUGAGUUUAAGCAUAUCAAUAAGCGGAGGA